rnacentral:rRNA from 1 species
UGCCAGCAGCCGCGGUAAUACAGAGGGUGCAAGCGUUAAUCGGAAUUACUGGGCGUAAAGGGCACGUAGGUGGCUUUUUAAGUCUUAGGUGAAAUCCCUGGGCUCAACCUGGGAAUUGCCUGAGAAACUGGGAAGCUAGAGUAUGGUAGAGGGAAGUGGAAUUUCCGGUGUAGCGGUGAAAUGCGUAGAUAUUGGGAAGAACACCAGUGGCGAAGGCGGCUUUCUGGACCGAUACUGACGCUGAGACGCGAAAGCGUGGGGAGCAAACAGGAUUAGAUA